GACGAACGCUGGCGGCGUGCUUAACACAUGCAAGUCGAACGGAAAGGCCCUGCUUUUGUGGGGUGCUCGAGUGGCGAACGGGUGAGUAACACGUGAGUAACCUGCCCUUGACUUUGGGAUAACUUCAGGAAACUGGGGCUAAUACCGGAUAGGAGCUCCUGCUGCAUGGUGGGGGUUGGAAAGUUUCGGCGGUUGGGGAUGGACUCGCGGCUUAUCAGCUUGUUGGUGGGGUAGUGGCUUACCAAGGCUUUGACGGGUAGCCGGCCUGAGAGGGUGACCGGCCACAUUGGGACUGAGGUACGGCCCAGACUCCUACGGGAGGCAGCAGGGGGGAGUAUUGCACAAUGGGCGGAAGCCUGAGGCAGCGGCGCCGCGUGCGGGAUGACGGCCUUCGGGUUGUAAACCGCUUUCGCCUGUGACGAAGCGUGAGUGACGGUAAUGGGUAAAGAAGCACCGGCUAACUACGUG
rnacentral:rRNA from 1 species